UCUUUUGUUGACGAUGAUACUUGUAAUGUCUAGUUUAUUUCACCAGUAACAUGCAAGUGUGGCAUGGUAUUUGCCUUGAGCCAAGACAACAUCAGACAUUGAUUAAGGUGUAGUGACCUGAGCUUGAAACAUGAUAGAAUCCUUGUUGUAGAUGUGUUUAUUCAAGGAUAAGAGUUUUGAUAUAAAGUUGAAAAUAGAUGGCAAACACUUGUUCACAUGGUCAGAUAGGAAAUUCAUUGAUUCAGUUGACACUGCUUUAUUGCAUUACGUUAUGUACACAUCAAAAACUUUGACGCGAUACUUAGUAAUUAGCAUUUAUUUUCUAAAUUACAGAUGUUAAUUUUGUAGACUGUUAAUUGGUUUUACAAAGCUCCAAUUCGUUAAUGCUAUUUCCAGUAGAUUUUCAAUUUUGUUUAUGCUGUCGAAGUAUACCAUUUACAUUCACUCUCGUGUUCUUGUGUAAUGAUUUAAAGUGUGAAUACUUUUAUGUACUUGUAUGUUCAACUAAUCCUACAAUUAAUUAGUAUAUGAGAAAGCAAAAUUUUUGAGCUUUUGCCUCACUUUUACACUACACGUACAAAUACCAAGAAGGAUUUCCCUUAAAUCAUGAGAUUACAAAUAUUAAGUUCUUUAUAUAUUAAUACAGUUCCCAUGGUUCAUGAACUUUACUUGGUUAAUUGUUUAAUUUGAUAGUUUGACUUAGCAAUCUCAUUAAUAGUUUAUAUAUGAAAUGUUCUUAUGACUCAUGCCGCGUAACACUUAACUAAGUUGAUAAACAGGGUCAUUCAACUGCUGCUGCAGCAAAUGUUCGAAAAUUGAACAAUUAACCAACUGUUGAAGAUGAUGUUGCUCCUCUAACUGAAGUUUCAAAAAUUGCUCCAACUCUGGCAUAUACUGGUUAACUGACUGUUGAUGCUGCAGAGAACCUUGAAUUUGUUCAAUAAAUGGCACAGACGAAUUCUGACGAGAAAGCAAGCGCUGCUGCUGAAGCUGUUGUUGCUGUUGUUGCUGUUGUUGUUGCUGCUGCUGAAGUUGCUGAAGCUGCUGCUGCCGAAGCAGUUGUUGUUGCUGCUGCUGCUGCUGAAGCUGUGAUUUUGGUUGAUUUUGGUUGAUUCUGUAAUAUGUUUAUACUGUUUCCUUGCGUUGUGAUUAUUGUCAGUCGCAGCAUUGUCAAUUUGGGGGCUAAGAUUUACUUUCUCGUAAAAUCCCUCCCUUUUGAUCUUUGUUUCAUGGUCUUUUCUUUCUUCUGUCAUGAUCCUGUUUAUGCCUGAACAUUUGAAAGAUGGGAAAUAAGUAGACUAUGGUUGUGCUACUAUUUUGUUUAUAGACGAACUUACUACUCUUCUAGUUUAUCAAGUAAUUAAGUAGAUUGUCCUUACUAAU